rnacentral:snRNA from 1 species
GGAUGUGAGGGUGCUCUGACACCCCAUGGAACACUGUGGCUGGUUUGCCUGGCUGACUGGCUAGGUGGCUGUCCCAUUUCUCCCUUACUGCUCUAUGGGGGGCUUUCUAGAAGCCACACAACCAGGCAAAGCAGACAGCCUCCCCCAUCCUUUUGGUCAAGGAUAUACAAAUAACGGUUCUCCUUGCAAAAACCUCCAAAUAAACUUUCCAAGAAAUUAAAAUAUCUGCAUAUAGACUUAAGUAAGUCAUUUGCAGGAUUUUUAAAUGAAAACUGCACUCUUAAGUGAGAAUAGAGCAUUU